UUAUUUAUUUAUUUUAGGUUGUAUAGUAGAAACAAUUGCUUCAUAAGUCAUAAACGCACAUGUGCCACGCUUGAUAUAUCAACAUCCAUAGACUACGAAAACCGCUUAGCGUUGCUUGUUUAGUCUCCAUAGGCUACGGUGGCCAAAAUCGAGAAAAAAAUUGGUUAAAAAUUGAAUUUAGCAAGGAGCAAGUACCAGGGCCUCAUGAGUUACGAGGUGUUGUUGACCAACCCGCCGGGCCCCGGCGGCGACAACAGUGCGUACGAGUACGAAGAUAUCGCGAUUGCUCGCGACUCUUAAAUAGUACUUUCGGUUUGUUUACCUAAUGUAUAUGAUUCUAUUAGUUUAAUAUAUUAUUUUGUCUCUCGUGGAAAAAGUAUUGUAUACAAUAGUGAUAUAAUCAAGCUUUUCAAUCUCGUACCCAAUAAGGCCACUUAGCAAGCUUCGUAGCCUUUACACGGUACUCGACUGAAAAGCUCUCAAUUAUAUCACUAUUGUAUAAAAUACUAUUGUGCAACGUAAUAGGGCUUCUUAAAAAAUUCGCUCCUGUCAUUCCUGGCCGCGUAGCCAACGUGCAAAUCGCUUACGCCCCGUAGCGAUCGAAACGCAACUGUUACUGCCGCACUAAUAUGAUAGAGUGAUAGAGAGACACAAAGCGAUUCGUUGUCGAAGCGAUAGCAAUUGUCACCUUGGCUAGGCCGGCUGGUGCAGAUGUUGUCCAUCGCUGUUCAACGCGGAAAAGCAGCAAGCGUGAUAGGCACUUUUGCGUCAAUGUGUGUGUACACAUAAUUGUAUCAAGUAUGGAAGAAAUAUUCAUGCUACAAUUUGCAGGUUAUUACAAUCAUUUCGUCAUAUUCUAUUUAUAUAAAAGAAUAAAUUAAGAUUAUGAAACGCACACCAUGAGGCCGAAUAAUUUGGUGAUAGGUUUCUUUCAUUGCAUUUGCAAUACCUACUCACCAUUGUAUAAAAUUCAAAAUCAACAAUAAUCUUUCUUUCACCGGUCUCACUCAUUAUCGGUUUUUUUUCUUAAAAAUGAUGUUAUAUUGUUUUGUAUUGUAUUGUAUUGCAUUGUAUUGUAGUGUAUUUUACUAAUAAAUUAAAAUGAUUUUACAGUACUCAUUGCAUCUUUUAUCUACCCAAUCGCUCAACAAAUCUCAGA